AGACAGACAGACAGACAGACAGCGUGUUUCCGUAGGCCUAUGGUUCUCUGGUCAGUUAUGAGAGGAAAUUAUCUUAUCUGGGGACACUGCAGAAAAAAAUAACCCAACAUGUUUCUGGUGCAUGUUUGAGAGAUACCGUUCAGUUUUCUGUUGAGUUUUUCAUUAUUUUUUUUUUGUUCUCUCUUGCCUUUCUGCUGCAGGAAAUAAACGAACAUAUCAACGGAAGCCUUAAAAAUGCUGGAACAAUGGCUCUCGAUUUUGUCCUUUCCCUUCAGCCCGUGUCGUUUUUCUCCAGUUCUUUCCGUGUUUUUGUUCUGACUUUGUGUUUGAACUGUCUGUGUUGAUUAAUCGAUCGAACAGUAAUUUAUAGAAAAAAAAAAGAUGAUUUAUCAAGACUGUGCCUUAUUUUUAAAAAAAAAUUUUUUGGGUGGUUUUGGACAAUUUGUUGGGAAAACACGUUUGUUGGAAGGAUUUUUGCGUAAUUUGAGUCAUUUUGAUCUGUUCACUAAUUGAAUUGGCCUACAGUGUAAGAUUGAAAUAUAAAGUUAGGGAUAUCUAAGUGACACUCAGAUGGAUGGGAGAAAAAAAACAAAGUUUUGUUUGCCGUGUGUUGAAAUAUUUGCUCUCUUUCUAAUCAGUACAAUAGUAAAUAAUAAUGACAAUAGUUCGUCCGUCAAGGUAUUAUGGCGAUGACCAAUGCAUGUGCAGAGGGGAAUAAUUGCGAAAUGGAAGAAGUUUAGAGGUUAUGGUGACUUUAGACCACUUCUGUGGCCAGUGAGACAAUAUGGCAGAGAAAAGUUUGGAUUUUGGUCAGUGUUUUGCGGCACUCGCAACUGCGGAAAGCUAAAAGAGCGAGAAAUGUUGUCCUUAUUUUGCAGAAAAAAGCACCACGCCCACUUGUGGAUGCGCGGAGUAAUCAGAAUCAGAAAUCCAAAAGAAAAAAAAAAUCUCAAAAAUACAUGACUCAUACACUCUCCUUAUUUUGGAAUCGAAUCUGGAAGGGCUGGCAGAGAAGUAUCAGUCGCCAAGUAUUGGUAAUCGUAUCGAAUUUGGCUGAGCUCCUUGUGGCUUGUGAGUCGACUCGAUGAUGCCGGCUCUGUUUGAGCUGUAUAUAAUGUGGAAACAUUGGACUUACACCCUCUCAGUUUGAGCUGUAUAUAAUGUGGAAACAUUGGACUUACACCCUCUCAGUUUGAGCUGUAUAUAAUGUGGAAACAUUGGACUUACACCCUCUCAGUUUGAGCUGAAUAUAAUGUGAACACGUUGAACUUAGGUCCUCUCAGUUUGGGACGUAUGUAAUGUGACGAAACACUGGACUAAUGCCUUCUCCGUUUAAGCUAUACGUAAUGUGAAGCACGGGACUAACAUUCUUUUCAUUGGAGCUGUACUCUUUAUGCCAAUAGAUCGCAGCUCCUCGUAACGGGAAAAAAAUUGGACUUAUGCCUUCGCCGUUUGUGGUGUACGAGAUGCGGUGAAAUAUCAGAUGUAUUGCUUUCUCCAUUUGAGAUGUUCAGGAAGUAGAUGUGACAAACUUCUGCCCUUCGUAUUUGCGCCGUACGCCAUCGUGAAAUGUAGGAAUUAUGCCCUCUCCGUUUGUGUAGUACGUCAUGGUGAAAAUAAUCAGAAGUGUGCCUUGCCUUCUCCGUUUGAAAUGUAUGGUGUAAACGUACCGAACUUAUGCCGUCUCCAUUUGAGCUAAUGACCUCAGAGUUCACAUUCUUGGAUAAUACUUUUACACGCGUCUUUGGUGCUACCAAAAACCUAUAGAGAGUCGAAACAGGACGAGAAAACGCAACAAAAAAGACAAAACGAAACCAGAAAAAACCAA